ACUACGGGAGGCAGCAGUGGGGAAUAUUGGGCAAUGGGCGCAAGCCUGACCCAGCAAUGCCGCGUGAAGGAAGAAGGCUUUCGGGUUGUAAACUUCUUUGACAGGGGAAGAGCAGAAGACGGUACCCUGAAAACAAGCCACGGCUAACUACGUGCCAGCAGCCGCGGUAAUACGUAGGUGGCAAGCGUUGUCCGGAUUUACUGGGUGUAAAGGGCGUGUAGCCGGGAAGGCAAGUCAGAUGUGAAAUACGGAGGCUCAACAGCCGGAUUGCAUUUGAAACUGUUUGUCUUGAGUACUGGAGAGGCAGACGGAAUGCCUUGUGUAGCGGUGAAAUGCGUAGAUAUAAGGAGGAACACCAGUGGCGAAGGCGGUCUGCUGGACAGCAACUGACGGUGAGGCGCGAAAGCGUGGGGAGCAAACAGGAUUAGAUACCCGAGUAGUC
rnacentral:rRNA from 1 species